rnacentral:rRNA from 1 species
UAAAAUUAAAAAAUUUGGCGGUAUUUUAGUCUUUUCAGAGGAACCUGUUCUAUAAUCGAUAAUCCACGAUUUAAUGUACUUGUUUUAAUAAAUUUAUAUAUCGUCGUAGUUUGAAUAUUUUAGUAGAAAUUUAAUAUUCAAGAUUUUUAUUAAAAAAUAAAUCAGAUCAAGGUGUAGUUUAUAAAUAAGAAGAAAUGGGUUACAAUUAAAAUAUUAAUGAAUAAAUUUAUUUAAAUAAAUUUUGAAAUUGGAUUUGAAAGUAAUUUUUUAUAAUUAUAAAAAAUGAUUUUGGCUCUAAAAUAUGUACAUAUUGCCCGUCACUUUUGUUUUAAGAUGAAAUAAGUCGUAACAAAGUAGAUUUACUGGAAGGUGAAUCUAGAAU